rnacentral:rRNA from 1 species
AUUGAACGCUGGCGGCAGGCCUAACACAUGCAAGUCGAGCGGUAGCACAGAGAGCUUGCUCUCGGGUGACGAGCGGCGGACGGGUGAGUAAUGUCUGGGAAACUGCAUGAUGGAGGGGGAUAACUACUGGAAACGGUAGCUAAUACCGCAUAACGUCGCAAGACCAAAUUGGGGGACCUUCGGGCCUCAUGCCAUCAGAUGUGCCCAGAUGGGAUUAGCUGGUAGGUGGGGUAACGGCUCACCUAGGCGACGAUCCCUAGCUGGUCUGAGAGGAUGACCAGCCACACUGGAACUGAGACACGGUCCAGACUCCUACGGGAGGCAGCAGUGGGGAAUAUUGCACAAUGGGCGCAAGCCUGAUGCAGCCAUGCCGCGUGUGUGAAGAAGGCCUUCGGGUUGUAAAGCACUUUCAGCGGGGAGGAAGGCGGUGAGGUUAAUAACCUCACCGAUUGACGUUACCCGCAGAAGAAGCACCGGCUAACUCCGUGCCAGCAGCCGCGGUAA